rnacentral:rRNA from 1 species
CCCUACGGGGCGCAGCAGGCACAAUCUCAAUCGCCUCAAGGUCACCCUUCAUCAGCGGGCGGUCCUCAGCAUGUCCCUGAUCCGUUUACAAACUAUUCCUCAGGACCGGGCGCUCAGCCGCAAAAUCAAUCCGCCCCCGCUCAAAAUCCUCAAUCGGCUCAAAGCGCCGCUCCAUCCGGAAAUACAGAUGCGAUGUUCUCAGCAGUGUAUGGAAAAGUUACAGUCAAUAGAACAGGGGCUUUUGAGCCGGCAGCCGCAAACACAGCGCUCAGCUCUGGAAAUGAAAUUAAGAUUGAAGGCGGCGGUGUAACAAAAAUUAAUUUUGCAGGCGGGCGAAAGGCAAUUCUUCGUGAAAAUGCUAAUUUGAUUUUAUCAUCAAUAACAAAUAACGGGAAUAUGGUGUCUCUUAAAAUACUGGCGGGGGAGC